ACUCUGGCUAUUCCAUAUUUAUCAACAUCGUGCAUAGUGUAAGCAGUGAUGCUGCGUUCACGAAGAAAAGCACGUUCCAUAGGAUCCAAAUCGCGCAAACCGAUGAACGCAAGACGACGCUCUUCAAUUACUCUUCUUGUCCAAGCAAACUCUUCAGGAAGAGGUUCGGCAUAUCCCAAGGAAAAGGACAAUGGGCAGCCAUGAAGAUUCUUUGAAGGGGAUGAAUCGGGGGUAUUAAUAUCAGCAUGGGCAUCAAUCCACAAGACACAAGCAUCAUCGUAGACAGCUUGUACACCUUCAACAGUGCCAAUGGCAAGUGAAUGAUCUCCUCCAAUGUUGACCGCGAUCCUUUGCUUCUCUAGUUCCUGUUGAACAAUAUUACGAACUUGGCGAGUAACAUUGCUAACGUAGAGUGGGUUUUUCAUGAGGGCUUGAUUAGGGCCUUCUUUUAAAGGUCGACUUUUAAAUUUGGGAUUUUGAACGACGUUGACACUAUAACCAAGACGCUCCAAGUCUUCAGGCAAUCCAGCCGCCUCAAUCAUUUCUGGAGCCAAUUCAGCACCGUCCUUGGGUUGACCGCCUGAAAAUGGCAUAUUUAUGAUAGAGACGGCAUUUCCCUCCAUGUAUCUACUAGACAUAAUAUGUCUAUGUACUUCGGGUAUUUUAUGAGGAGACAUUGUAUAUAUUUUUGAUUCAGUCAGGUAGAAACGAUGUUGUGUAUAGCAAAGGACCCUUUGAAGUAGAUGGGAGGUUGCGAAAUUUAUGGAAUUCCGUUUUUCAUGCCGAUGACGGCUUUAAUAAAUAGUGAGCGUUUGCUUACUCAAUAGUCUUUGAGUAUUUUAUCUACCGGCCGUUAUCAGAUCUUGCGGGCAAUCAUAUUAGACUCAUCAACCUAAAAACGGGAUAUUAAUUCCACGGACUCAACAUU